rnacentral:rRNA from 1 species
UGCAAGUCGAGCGGUAGAGAGAAGCUUGCUUCUCUUGAGAGCGGCGGACGGGUGAGUAAUGCCUAGGAAUCUGCCUGGUAGUGGGGGAUAACGUUCGGAAACGGACGCUAAUACCGCAUACGUCCUACGGGAGAAAGCAGGGGACCUUCGGGCCUUGCGCUAUCAGAUGAGCCUAGGUCGGAUUAGCUAGUUGGUGAGGUAAUGGCUCACCAAGGCGACGAUCCGUAACUGGUCUGAGAGGAUGAUCAGUCACACUGGAACUGAGACACGGUCCAGACUCCUACGGGAGGCAGCAGUGGGGAAUAUUGGACAAUGGGCGAAAGCCUGAUCCAGCCAUGCCGCGUGUGUGAAGAAGGUCUUCGGAUUGUAAAGCACUUUAAGUUGGGAGGAAGGGUACUUACCUAAUACGUGAGUAUUUUGACGUUACCGACAGAAUAAGCACCGGCUAACUCUGUGCCAGCAGCCGCGGUAAUACAGAGGGUGCAAGCGUUAAUCGGAAUUACUGGGCGUAAAGCGCGCGUAGGUGGUUCGUUAAGUUGGAUGUGAAAUCCCCGGGCUCAACCUGGGAACUGCAUCCAAAACUGGCGAGCUAGAGUAUGGUAGAGGGUGGUGGAAUUUCCUGUGUAGCGGUGAAAUGCGUAGAUAUAGGAAGGAACACCAGUGGCGAAGGCGACCACCUGGACUGAUACUACACUAAGGUGCAAAACGUGGGGCAAACAGGAUUAGAUACCCUGGUAGUCCACGCCGUAAACGAUGUCAACUAGCCGUUGGGAGCCUUGAGCUCUUAGUGGCGCAGCUAACGCAUUAAGUUGACCGCCUGGGGAGUACGGCCGCAAGGUUAAAACUCAAAUGAAUUGACGGGGCCCGCACAAGCGGUGGAGCAUGUGGUUUAAUUCGAAGCAACGCGAAGAACCUUACCAGGCCUUGACAUCCAAUGAACUUUCCAGAGAUGGAUUGGUGCCUUCGGGAACAUUGAGACAGGUGCUGCAUG